rnacentral:rRNA from 1 species
UAGAGUUUGAUCAUGGCUCAGAUUGAACGCUGGCGGCAGGCCUAACACAUGCAAGUCGGACGGCAGCGGGAGGAAGCUUGCUUCCUUGCCGGCGAGUGGCGGACGGGUGAGUAAUAUCUGGGGAUCUGCCUGAUGGAGGGGGAUAACCACUGGAAACGGUGGCUAAUACCGCAUGAAGUCGCGAGACCAAAGCGGGGGACCUUCGGGCCCCGCGCCAUCAGAUGAACCCAGACGGGAUUAGCUGGAAGGUGGGGUAACGGCUUACCUUGGCGACGAUCCCUAGCUGGUCUGAGAGGAUGAUCAGCCACACUGGGACUGAGACACGGCCCAGACUCCUGCGGGAGGCAGCAGUGGGGAAUAUUGCACAAUGGGGGAAACCCUGAUGCAGCCAUGCCGCGUGUAUGAAGAAGGCCUUCGGGUUGUAAAGUACUUUCAGCAGGGAGGAAGGGGUGAGGAGUAACAUGCCUUGCCAUUGACGUUAUCUGCAGAAGAAGCACCGGCUAACUCCGUGCCAGCAGCCGCGGUAAUACGGAGGGUGCGAGCGUUAAUCGGAAUUACUGGGCGUAAAGGGCACGCAGGCGGUCAAUUAAGCCGGAUGUGAAAUCCCCGGGCUCAACCCGGGAACUGCAUUCGGAACUGGUUGACUGGAGUUCUGUAGAGGGGGGUGGAAUUCCACGUGUAGCGGUGAAAUGCGUAGAGAUGUGGAGGAACACCAGUGGCGAAGGCGGCCCCCUGGACAGAGACUGACGCUCAAGUGCGAAAGCGUGGGGAGCAAACAGGAUUAGAUACCCUGGUAGUCCACGCUGUAAACGAUGUCGAUUUAAAGGCUGUGGUCAUGAACUGUGGCUUUUGGAGCAAACGCGUUAAAUCGACCGCCUGGGGAGUACGGCCGCAAGGUUAAAACUCAAAUGAAUUGACGGGGGCCCGCACAAGCGGUGGAGCAUGUGGUUUAAUUCGAUGCAACGCGAAGAACCUUACCUGGUCUUGACAUCCACAGAAGACUGCAAAGAUGCGGUUGUGCCUUCGGGAACUGUGAGACAGGUGCUGCAUGGCUGUCGUCAGCUCGUGUUGUGAAAUGUUGGGUUAAGUCCCGCAACGAGCGCCACCCUUGUCCUUUGUUGCCAGCGCGUGAAGGCGGGAACUCAGGGGAGACUGCCGGUGAUUAACCGGAGGAAGGUGGGGACAAAUCAAGUCAUCUUGCCCUUACAACAAGGGCUACCACUUGCUCAAUGGCCCUUCAAAAGAAACGAGCCUGCGAGGGUGAACGGACUCUUAAAUGGGUCCACUCCGGAUGGGAUUGGACUCUCUUCCUCAAUAUGAAUCCUUGAUACGGGCAAUAAAGGCCGGGUGAACUUUCGCGGCUUGAAACCCGCCCGCACCCUUGAAUGGGUGAAAAAACAAAGGUUACUUUUAGGAUCAG